rnacentral:lncRNA from 1 species
AAAGUCAAUUAGCAGUGUUCUGGGUAUAUAGCAAAAGGAAGUGAAAUAAUCUUUUAAAGGCAGCUGCACACCAUGCUCAUUGCAUCUCUGAAAUGCCGAGUGCAACACAAACACACACACGCACACACACACACACACACACACACACACCCACAGAAAAACAGAAACACACACACACAGUGAGAUGUUACUAAGUCUUUAAAAGAGAGAUCAUCUUUCCACUUUUCACUGAGAAACAAAUAUUCUAUUUUCUUAACCAAAUAUAUAAAAUACAGACUAAAAUAGUGAUUACCCGGGGCUAGGAGGUAGGGAAUAGGUGAAUAUAUAUCAAAUGGUAUAACAUAAAAGAUAAGAAAAGUUGGAAGAUAACAUGUGCACUGUUAGAAAUACAAUUAAUAAUAUUGCAUUGCAUGCAGGAGAUUUUCUAAAUGAAGAGGUAUGAAGCAUAUAUUCAUUUAUUCUACCACAUUAAUCAUGCUAUAUAUGCAUCUAUAAUAUUUACUACAGUUUAAAUAUGCGCAAUGAAUUUAUUUGAAGAAUUAAAAUAUGGCUGCUUUAUGUGCACAUGUAAUAUGUGUUCAUUAUAAUGAGAUACUAUUUUGCAUGUUUGUUGACAAGAGAACAUAAGGAGGUGAAUAUCUAUAUAUUCUGUGUUUGGGAUGGGGAAUGUGUAUGUGUGUAUUUGUCACCUGGAUAGGUAUUUGCCUGGUUACACUUCAUUGUUGACUUUGAAUUGACAUGUACUCAUGAUGAAUGCAUGUCUUCCUCUCUAGACAUGUCCUUUGGGGUUUUAGGUCCACAAAGUGUUGACCUCUGUUUCCAAGGCACCACUCACUGUG